rnacentral:tRNA from 1 species
GGUGAGAUGGCCGAGUGGUCUAAGGCGCUGGUUUUAGGCACCAGUCUCCUCGGAGGCGUGGGUUCGAAUCCCACUCUCAUCA